AACAAUAGUUUUUUUCAAUUUCAAUCGGCUCAGGCACCGGAAAGAAGCACCGGAAUGUGCGUUGCGUUUCGGUCCGGGUAAUACCGGUUGUAUUGGAACCGGUACCACAUUGGCACCGGGUUUCGGUACCCAACCCUAACCAUGACAGGACAUAAACGAGAGUUUCCGGUACUUUUGCGGAACUGCUGUCUCGCUGUCUUGCAUUUCACCGGCGUAUGGUUUAUGCUAAACUGAUAGGGACUAAAGAGGAAAAAGCGAGUGCCUAAUUGAUACCAAAACGUUUCUGCAAGAUAUCACCAUGCUGCUGAAGGUGAAAUACCAGAGUACCAAGAAGUACAUCCAGUCCAAAACGCAGCUGAACCUGACACUGGAGGAAGACAUUCUUCUUGAACUGAUGGAGUCCAAUCCAGACCUUUGCCUGAUUAAGAAGAUUUUUCUCCUUUAGAUCAUUCAACACCAUCUUCUCUCACGGACAGGUCUACAAAAAAGGUACUUGAGAGCAGUAGAUGUCAGUUAACAUUUUUACUCGUAAUAUCAUCAAGAAAAUUGUUUAACUGAAUUAUGAUUCUCACCAAUUGGACUAUAAUUAAAUUUACUAAACUUAAUAAUUAACCCAGGGUUUAGCUGUGUAUUAUGUAACUCUUGUCUUUUGUAGUGUAGACUAUAUUGCUUACUUUGGCUCAGCAUGCCCCACAUAUCCUGAAAAGAUGUUUCUACGUAACCUGAUUGUUAAUUUUUUGCAGCAUUACUGUUUUAUUCUUAUUUUUAAACCUUCCUUUUUAAUCUUAUGCGAGUAGAUGGUAGAAAAUUCGCUAGCCAUAUGACUGAAAUGGAUGGGUAAGUGUUUGUUCAAAAUAUUGUAGAAUUUCUUUCCACGUUUUAUUUAAACUGUAGUCACUGCGGGAUACAGCAUUCAAGCCCACGGUCAUCAAAGAGGUCAAACACAUGAUAUCCUUAAUUUAUUAUCCAAAUGGCUGGUGCUAUUAACUUUGUGCAUUCCAAGUACAUAUAAUUGAUUUUUUUUGCCUCAUUUGCUCCUGGUAGACUGGGAGACUGCUUCUCCAUCUCUUGCCACCCACAGCUGGAGGGAAGAGGAUCAAAAUAAGUCCCAGUGAUGCAGUUUCACAAGGUAUGUGUGUCUCAUCUGCGUAAAUCCCACAAGCCAGUUUUAUUAACUCAAUGAAAUAGUGCAAAAUAACAACUAAUCUGAACGUCUCAAUCUUUACAACAGCAAGGACUUUUUGGACACAGGAGCAAAUCAACAUUUAUUUGAUCUAACACAGGGUGUCCGCGGGGCAUUAAAAAGUCUUAAAUGUUUUGGGUGUCAUGUCAUUACGAAUAUGAGGCAAUCUGUUCCGCCAGGUCCGUAUUUUGCUCCGGUUGCUCUGCGGCAUCACCGGGGCCACGCCCCUUCUCUUAAAGGGGCCCCGCGAAGUAUCGGCUACUUUAGAAAACAUGGCAGGAUGCAAGUUCAACAACGAGUGUUUCUGGUCACGGUCGGUGAAAUGCUUCUGAAGCUGCGUUAUGUGUCGGGAGACUUUCCAGCGGUGGAAUCUCACGUGCAGAGCAAGAGGCACAGAGACUAGCGAAGGCCGCCAGCAGCCCGCGGGGCUAGCUCCUGCUCCGCCGCCAGCAACGCUACAACGCUGGAAAUCCAGCGCCGUGCAACAAAGAGCUCAUCACCGAAGUCCAACGCUGCGGUGCGUUCUUCAUUCUGUUCCACGAGACUGGACCAGACAGCUGGACUUCAUGUGCGCUAUUGGUUAAAUGACCAGGUCCAGUCAGGAUCCUAUGGAGCUCAUGGGCCAUGACACGCCCAGGACCUACUUCAGCAUCUCAAAGAGAAUGGACCAAAUGUCAACUGGAAGUUUUUUUAUUCAUAUCGUUUGAAAAGGAUUGUUUUCCUAGUAUAUUCACAAAAGCUCAGGAGGAGACGUGAACCUGUGCACAAACAUCCAUCACAUAGAGAACUCUCGCUCACUCACACAUACAUUCUAUUAUGUAAAUGUAUUUGCAUUUUAAAAGCAGCUGGAAAUGUUAUGUUAUUUUAUAGAUUUUUUUGUUCAAAAGGAACUGUUGCACGUAUUUUAAAAAUAUAUUUACUUGAUUUUAUAGACAUUUGUUCAUGGGACCUAAAUGUUCUUUUAAUAAAUAUAAUUUACAACAGCAAUGACAUUUGUGUUAUCCUUUUGCAUUACACCAUACUGUUAAUUUUGAACAGUUUACUUUGAAUUAAUUAAUUUAGAUUAAUGUAUAUUUCCUUCGUACGUUAGGUCUUAAAUUUUAUUUAGACGUGGUCUUAAAUUUCACUGGUUUAUUCCUGUAACACUCAACUAUGCAGUUGAAAGUGAUAAUUUGAAUUCUUAUACAUACACUUCACUGAGUGUUCCUUUUUCAAAAUAUAGUGGGAAGACACUUCCAGGAUCUAUUAAACUCAUGGAGCAACAAGUACGGCUAAUAACUUGAGCUAAGUUUUUCAGUCAUCACCUGCUGGGAAGAGGCUAAACAACCAUACUCCCUUGCUGUUGGCCGAAACAGCUCAUCCCCUGCCAAGCUACUAGCUCGUUGGGUGCUUUUGAUGAACCGUGUUCAACCUGUCUUACGAUGAAACUCUGGUCCCACAACAACAGAUCAGUCUCCAAGAGUACGUGAGUUUGUCUUGCAAGUGUUUCAUUUGUGGUGAUUUUUGUAAAUGUGCAUGAUGGUGCUUUGAAGAUGUUUUCUGAAUAAAAUAAAUUGUAUCCAUACUUUAUUGAAGGUCACUGUUUUUGGAGUGUAAGCAUAUGCAAUUUUAGUGUUAGAAAUACUAUGCGAUAUGUUCAGAGAAAAGCUUUUAUGUGAGCUGUAUUUGAUUCAUUUUUCUAUUUUACAGUUGUAUAUGUGGAAUGUAAGUCAGGCCGGAGUCCACCAAGUCGUUUCCUCUGCUGGUUCCCGGGAUUUCAAAGCAAAUCUGGUAAUCCAAUCUUUUAAACACUGCUGUUGAGUAAAAGGUUGGACCAGCCAAAGUUCAUUGUUUAUUUUCACGUUCCUUUCCAGAAAACAGUGAAAAAUGUAAGUUAAAAAAAUACAACGUAUUCGUUGAAAAUCAGUCAAAUGUAUUUAUUAACAUGCAUUCAGCACAUACACAGCUUAUGGCAUUUGGAGCAGACUUCUUUUUCCAUAAACAUCUUUAAAGCGAACACAUAUUAAGGUUGACAACUGUUUCCUAAAGCCCAUUAUCAGAACUUACAAAUUAGCCUCAGAGGGCUUUACAAACUGUACAGACAUCCCUGUCAAAAUCUACACCCAAUGCAUAGCGAGUAAAGAGACGCUAGCCUCUUUACUAGCUUGUUAGCUCCUUAACACAGAAGUCAAUGGAGCAGCAUUAGCGCGAACUCGGCUUUAUUUUACUUCGCCGAGCUGUCCUUUGUGCGGAUUUACGAACUUAAUAUAGGGAUUGUCUUUCAUCUCGUCUUAGGACGCAUCAACACAGACCAAUAUUAUACUUAGAGACGAUCGUUGUGCCAGCUUCUCCGCUUGCUGUUACCUGUCUGUGAUCCAGGGCCGGAAAUCACUCCCGCGGCUGAGCUGGAUGACAAGCUUUAAAUACUGGUGACUAAUAGGACCGAACCAAUACCAUCUACAGAGUUGGUAUAUCCCAGACCUAUAAAGUGGUGGUCAUAGACGCUGGGAAGUCAUUUGCCAGAUCACCCUGGGGAGAGGAGACAUGUUCCAGAGAUCUCUGGGAGGAAGGCACCUGUAACAGGAUCUAAAGAGCGGGAGCGCGCUGUUACAGUCAACCCCAUGUAUUAAUUUACACUUCCCUGGACCAGGUAAGUUGUUGCAAUAUGUUUUACGUAGUCACAAUCCCUGCAGGGGGACAUACAUCAGGUAACUUGCUGAUGCCCCCUGCAGCCUUUUGUUUCUGCAGGAUCUAAAGUGGAGCUGUUACAGCCACAUUUCCUGGAGCUAUAAGUCUGCUGUUCUAUAUCUUUUCCCUAAGUGUGUUUUUACUAACACUAUUUAUUUUCUAGGUACCUGGAUCACAGAUGGUGUGCAGCUUGCUGAUGGACAUUGAUUUGAGUUCCAAGUAUAAAUGGAAAGUGAAUAAAGUUGUAUCUUUGUUUUGCAGGUGAGACUAGGAGUCUCAUGUGUAGAAGGUCGAAUGCAAUGGUCACGCCCUUUGGGUAUGUUGGCGCCGUUUUUGCUGGUGACAGCAAAAACCUAAGUCCAGCUUUUUAAAAAUAAAGUUUUUCAUUUUAA